rnacentral:hammerhead_ribozyme from 1 species
AUCCAGUUGACGAGUCUCAAAUAGGACGAAACGCGCGCGAUGGAU